rnacentral:ncRNA from 1 species
AGUCCUGCUCAGUACAAGAGAACCGUCAGAUCAUUGGGUCAUUGGGUUCAUGUGCCUGACCGAUUGGAAAAUUGUACGAAGCUACCAUCUGAGGGAUUAUGACUGAACGUCUCUAAGUCAGAAUUCCU